CAGUCGAACGAGCGAGGGAGAGCUUGCUUUCUCGAGCGAGUGGCGAACGGGUGACUAACGCGUGAGGAACCUGCCUCAAAGAGGGGGACAACAGUUGGAAACGACUGCUAAUACCGCAUAAGCCCACGGGUCGGCAUCGACCAGAGGGAAAAGGAGCAAUCCGCUUUGAGAUGGCCUCGCGUCCGAUUAGCUAGUUGGUGAGGUAAUGGCCCACCAAGGCGACGAUCGGUAGCCGGACUGAGAGGUUGAACGGCCACAUUGGGACUGAGACACGGCCCAGACUCCUACGGGAGGCAGCAGUGGGGAAUAUUGCACAAUGGGGGAAACCCUGAUGCAGCGACGCCGCGUGGAGGAAGAAGGUCUUCGGAUUGUAAACUCCUGUUGUUGGGGAAGAUAAUGUCGGUACCCAACAAGGAAGUGACGGCUAACUACGUGCCAGCAGCCGCGGUAAAACGUAGGUCGCAAGCGUUGUCCGGAAUUACUGGGUGUAAAGGGAGCGCAGGCGGGAAGACAAGUUGGAAGUGAAAUCUAUGGGCUCAACCCAUAAACUGCUUUCAAAACUGUUUUUCUUGAGUAGUGCAGAGGUAGGCGGAAUUCCCGGUGUAGCGGUGGAAUGCGUAGAUAUCGGGAGGAACACCAGUGGCGAAGGCGGCCUACUGGGCACCAACUGACGCUGAGGCUCGAAAGUGUGGGUAGCAAACAGGAUUAGAUACCCUGGUAGUCCACACCGUAAACGAUGAUUACUAGGUGUUGGAG
rnacentral:rRNA from 1 species